UAAGCAUAUCACUCAGUGGAGGAAAGCCAAGCAACUGCGAUGGCUCCAGUAACGGCGAGUGAACCAGCUAUUCCUCAUGGCUCGGCCCGAAUGAGAUACCUGUGAGCGUCCCCUCUGGGCCCAAGUGCCUGGUUGGGUGAUGCGAUCGGCUAUCGUGGGUCUCUAUCUGAUGCACUGUGGGCUGUGGAGCGGUUGGCAUCUGUCCCAGGUUGAUCUUGGCACCAGGAAGGUGUCCUGGAAUGGACCACAGCAGAGGGAUAUUGUCCCGUACUCAGUGAGCGUGUGCCAUGGUUGCCUGGGGCUUUGCUGACUGCAUCCCUGAGUAGAGCUGUUUGAGACUGCAGUUUGAAGCGCGAGGUGUAUCCCUCGCAAGGAGCAAUACCACCGUGGGACCGAUAGCGCACAAGUAGAGUGAUUGAAGGAUGCAAAGGACUUUGCAAAGAGGGUUAAAAGUCCCUGAAGCCUCGGCAGGAACGGCGGUGAGUGGUGCUGUGGAAUGCAAAGAGUGCCCCUUGUGUGGCUCUCAUGGAGGCAGUGCGUGUGCUGGCUGGCUGGCAGGCUUGGGAUGUGUGGAUGUGGGAGUGUCUGUCUGACAGGCCUCCCUGCCUAGCAUGCCUGGGACUGUUGGUAGGUCCACACCCUCUCCUGAGUGGCUGUGCGAGUGUGGUGGCUCCUGGCUCUGUGUAUUGAACGCAUGAGAGGUUACCAAGCGACCUUGGGCCAGCCCAAGGCUGACUACCGAGCCCAUGUCUUAGGAUGUGGAUGCCAUAUCGUAGCAGCCUUGUGGUGACACUCAGCUUGUCUGGGCCUGAGGUUUGCAAGCGAUGUCUGUACUGAAUGCAGGGCAUGAAGCCUGGUCAUCUGGCAGUGUCUCAGCAGCUGAUGGCUGUGUGUGGAACCUGUUGCACUGGUGGUGGCAGGCAGUGCGGUCAGGCCCUCUGUGGGCUGGCACCAAACUGCAGGUCGUCCUGGUGUGGUGGGUGACCCAUGUGGCCACUCUCUGAGUGCUGGUUGUGGUGGCCUGUGCUCUCUAGCCACUGAAGUCUUGGUUGUCUUCGGGCGAUCGAGCCACCAUUGUUGCCUCAUGGUGGGGCUUGUUGGCAGUGUGGGGGUCUCACCACUCUGAUGGUGACCGCUGUGCUGCUGAUGGCUUCCCAAGUGGUGCAUGGUGUGAUAGGCAGUGGAGCUUGGUACAUCAGUGCCACUCUCUGCCCGUCUUGAAACACGGACCAAGGAGUCUAUGGAGCAUGCUGGCUGGCAGGUGUAAUCGUGGAAAGCCGUCCAAGCACGGUGAAAGUGAAACCUUUCCAGAUGGAGUGACCCACACAUGCGAAGCAAGGUCCCUGAGUGAGCCUAAGGGUGAUGCUGCUGUGGAUGCUGUGCCAGUGUGGUGCAGGUGGCGAUACACAUUUGGAGCUGGCCUCCGGGGCCAACUGCUGUGUGAGUCCUGCCUGUGUCCCUGAGUGCGGUCCACUCGCCUCCCAAGGGUGAGCAAAGGAACCAGUGGUUGUUGUGUGAUGGCAAACUGCUGCAUGGAACACCGGCCCCGAUGUCCAUUGGACUGGGUUUUGAGUGAUGGCAUGGUCCAUGGGACCCGAAAGGUGGUGAACUAUACCGUUCCACGAUGAAGCCGUGGGAAACCGCGGUGGAAGUCGGUCGCUGUUCUGACGUGCAAAUUGUGUAGUCUGAGUGCGGCAUAGGGGUGAAAGGCCAAUCGAGCUACCUAGUAGCUGGUUUCCCUCGAAGUUUCCCUCAGGAUAGCUGGGCUCCUUGUGAAGAGUCUCACGACUCAAGCCAUUGGCUUCGUCCGGUAAAGCAACGCAUGAGAGGCCCUACGGGGCAGCAUCCUUCCUCGACCUAUCCUCGAACUGUGAAUGGGCGCGGAGAGCCCUAAGGCACGCUUCUUCACCCUGUGCUUGGAGUCCGGUGCACAGCCGGUCCUCCUUGAUCUUCUGAGCGUGUGUCCUUCCGGAGGUUACCAUGUGUGGCUGACACUGUCCUGUGGCAAGGUUGAUGGCAGCAGUUGCAAAGCUGUCCCUUCAGCCCCAUGUGAGGGUGGGUUGCCUGUCAUGUUGCUCUGUGUGACAUGGCUGCACCUGCCGGUAGCAUGCUGUGUGCUGGGGCCAGAGGUGUGGCUGAGGCUGUCUUCCAGUGUGGUGUGGGAAGGGCUGUCGCCUUCGGGUGUGGCGCCUGACCUGCAGACACACACAGGCAGGAGGGUCCCAUGGUCUGCCUACAGUUUUGCGCUUGAGCGAUGGAGCCUAUGUGGGCCACCAUUGGUAAGCAGUGCUGGCGAUGCGGGGUGCUCCGAGAGUGGACUUACAGUUCCAGAGUGCUGGCUCAUACUCAGAUCCCACAAAGGAUGUUGUAUGCUAUGGAUAGCAGGUCGGUGGCCAUGAAGGUUGGAACCCGCUAAGGAGUGUGUAACAACUCACCUGCCGAAGUGUACAGCUCCGAAAAUGGAUGGUGCCCAAGUCAGUGAUGCUAUGUGUGCUAUCGACUCACAGUCCACCGCCGAUGUGGCAGCUGAGCAGAGCAUCGUUGUGUAGAACGGACAUGGGAGACUGCUGUGCCGGUUGGGAGUGAUCCCAGCUGGAGUGCCUCCUGGCGCAGAUCUUGGUUGCAGUAGCGAGUACUCCAAUCCGGUGAAGGGCGGAACAAUCCCACCUGUGUGUGGUUGAGGACUGAAGUGGAGCAGGUUUCCGCGCCAAACAGCCGUUGAACGCGGGUCAGCCGCUCGUGAGCCAAUCGGUAAACCUGAGAAGCAACCAAAGCUGUCAGUGUGCUGUGCUAUGUCUAUCAUGAAUCCUCAGUGGUCUGGCGAGCGCUCCCCCAGCUGUGCCACCCUCUGUGGGGCCAGCCUGAGGGCAUGCGAUGUGAAGGAGGACUGAUUGAUGUGUGCUGAUGCCUGAUGGGACUGGCAAACAGGCAAGCAUGUGCAACAUUCUGCUGCAAUGGGCUGUGGGAUGCCCACUGUCUCUGGCAGUGGCUGGCGGUGACACCAUGUGAGUGGAGCAAGCAGGCAUCGGGGCAGUGCACCCCUCGUGGAGUUUCUCGUUUCCUCCUGAUGCAGACCCAAGUGGGCUAUAGAUGCUUGACAUCUGGUGAUGAAAUAUGCCCUCCGCUCGGCAAGGCAGCGUGCCUCAUGCGCUGGCGGCAGAGGCUGAAGUUGUGACACUGUGUGGAUGGAUGCUAUCCUAUGCCAAGCUGAAUGAACAUGUGGCCAUAUGGUGGUCACUGGCCCUACAGAACAGCCUGUGUGGACCUUGCAUCCCGAGCCCCUGGCUCUCGUACUGUAUCACCGCAGCCGGUCUCCUCGGCUUGACGCCGCUGGUCAACGGAGCAAAUGCAGCUAAGGGAAGUCGGCAAACCAGCUGUGUACCUUCGGAAGAUACAGUGGCUCCAGAGGCCAAGUCACUGGGCCCUGCUGUGGACAUGUGCCUGCUUGUGGGAGCUGCUACAGUGUUGGGUCCCCUGGGUCCCAGUGCUGGUGUGGUGACCACAGCUGCCAUGCUCUGUGGUGGGGGGUCAGCGCUCUCGGGCGCAGGCCACCCCGGUGUCUGCUGAGUGGCCCACAUGGAACUGUUGCUGUGCAGGGGAAUCUGACUGUUUAAUUGAAACCCAGCUUCGUGAUGGGGUCCAGCUGGCUGGCUCCACGAGGUGACUUCUGCCCAGUGCUCUGGUUGUCAAUGCCAAGAGAUUGCGCCAAGCGCGGGUAAACGGCGGGAGUAACUAUGACUCUCUUGAGGUAGCCAAAUGCCUCGUCAACCAAUUAUUGACGCGCAUGAAUGGAUCAACGAGAUUCCUGCUGUCCCUAGCUGCUAUCCGGUGAACCAACAGCCAAGGGAACGGGCUUGGAUGUGUCAACAGGGAAAGAAGAGCCUGUUGAGA
rnacentral:rRNA from 1 species